GACAAAUAUUCAUAUCAUUUUCACAUAAAAAUAUACUUAGGGCAUUGCCCUUAUUUAAAAAGAAAGUCCACCUCAAAUGCUUAACUCCUCAAUCAGUUUCUGCUUCAACCACAAACGACGUGCAAAGUUCACCCUUUUUAAAAUAAUAUGAUAGGCUAAAAAUUAGACUUUGCAAAAUAUCUUAAUUUAAAACGAUGCAUGCAUCCUACGUGCGUGUGCUCAAAUUAUUCAUCAUUCUUUCACAUAGAUGAACAUACAUAUUCUCGCACAAUCAGUCCAACGCCUACUCAAAAUUAUUUAAUUAGCCAAGUAGAAUAUACUAAACGCAAACUACAGAGCAAUUAAACACAAACUCUCCAACCCAUUUAUUUAAUUUACAAGGCCCAACUAAAAGUAUUAAAGUAGCCCAACACUUAAAAUCUAAAGCAAGAAAAAGAAACAGUAGCAUAGUAUACUCCCCCUGCCACCACACGUCUACUUCCCAAAGACAACUCAAACCAGCAACUCUCUCUCUCUAAAUCUCACGCUCUCUCUGCCAUUCUUCUACAACUCUCACAAAUGAGCACAAAGCUCACUCUCAAUUUCUCGUCUCUUCCUCUCCUCUGUACUCUCCCUUCCCUAUUCUCAAUUUUGCAAAACGUCAAUCCCAAUUCUCAUCUCACAAUUUAAAGUUUCAAAACAGAAACGGCAAAACCCAAAUUAGAAGUACAAAAUGUGGCUCCACCUCUCUUCCUCUCUCGGCCUUUGCUGCACCAGUAACCACCGCUGCCGCUGUCACUGCCUCUCUGUCACCGCCGAGCUCCAGCCGUAUAAGCUCCGUUCACCAACCGCCGCCACCAAGCACAAACCGUUAUUAAUGGGCAUCAAGAAUUGAGUUUGGAAGAAACAAAAAGGCAACAUCUAAGCAUUAAAGGUCGAGGCUUUAAUAAAUCAUUCAACAAUUUUUCAAGGGUGAAAUAAAUUCUCAUGGAGGAACUAUCGUGAAUCAUGAACUAUGCCAAGAAAAUUGAGGGGAAAAGGCUAUACCUGUUCGUUUCAAGGAAUGAACUUCAAUGUGCAAGGGGAAAACUUGAUGAAACUCACGGCUGCCCUACUCCAGACGUGAUGAAAAAUUUGUGGGACGGUUUGGGUGUAUAUAUUCACAUAUAAAUUGUAGAUUUGAAACUGAUAUAGAGUAGUAUAAUAAUUCUGUCGAGAUUUGGUUUGCUGAAGAGAUUUUAGGGAGUUAAGAUAUGGGGAAAUCGUUUGGUGAUGGGGUUGUAGAAAUAUAUUUGACUCAAUAGAUGACUACAAAUUUGGAAUAAAUAAUUGAUUUUUUUUU